rnacentral:rRNA from 1 species
AUUGAACGCUGGCGGCAGGCCUAACACAUGCAAGUCGAACGAGUGGCGGACGGGUGUGUAAUGUCUGGGAAACUGCCUGAUGGAGGGGGAUAACUUCUGGAAACGGUAGCUAAUACCGCAUACCAUCGGAUGUGCCCAGAUGGGAUUGGCUAGUAGGUGGGGUAAAGGCUCACCUAGGCGACGACCCGUAACUGGUCUGAGAGGAUGAUCGGUCACACGGGAACUGAGACACGGUCCAGACUCUGACGGGAGGCAGCAGUGGGGAAUAUUGGAAAAUGGGCGAAAGCCUGAUCCAGCCAUGCGGCGUGUGGGAAGAGGGUCUUCGGAUUGUAAAGCACUUUAAGUUGGGAGGCGUUACCAACAGAGUAAGCACCGGCUAACUUCGUGCCAGCAGCCGCGGUAAUAC